UACGUAGGGUGCAAGCGUUGUCCGGAAUUAUUGGGCGUAAAGAGCUCGUAGGCGGUUUGUCGCGUCUGCUGUGAAAACUCGGGGCUUAACUCCGGGCCUGCAGUGGGUACGGGCAGACUAGAGUGCGGUAGGGGAGACUGGAAUUCCUGGUGUAGCGGUGAAAUGCGUAGAGAUCAGGAGGAACACCCGGGGCGAAGGCGGCCCUCUGGCUCGACCCUGACGCUGAGGCGCGAAAGCGUGGGGAGCGAACGGG
rnacentral:rRNA from 1 species